GCUCAUGGCUCAGGAUGAACGCUAGCUACAGGCUUAACACAUGCAAGUCGAGGGGCAGCAUGACCUAGCAAUAGGUUGAUGGCGACCGGCGCACGGGUGAGUAACACGUAUCCAACCUACCGGUUAUUCCGGGAUAGCCUUUCGAAAGAAAGAUUAAUACCGGAUAGUAUAACGAGAAGGCAUCUUCUUGUUAUUAAAGAAUUUCGAUAACCGAUGGGGAUGCGUUCCAUUAGUUUGUUGGCGGGGUAACGGCCCACCAAG
rnacentral:rRNA from 1 species